rnacentral:lncRNA from 1 species
GUAAAAACAGAAUUUUUGAAUUUUGCCUGAAGGUGACAGGCUGAUUUCCAUCAAAUUUUUUAAGAAAGUCAUUCCACUCUUCAUAUUUAAUAAGGCAGCUAUUGAUUGAUAAUUCUGAAAUAAUGAUGUAUCUGAAAAAGUGACACAAAGAUUCUGUUAUUUCUCAUUUCUAAGCUCCAGCGAUGAAUAUGCUUUCUCAAUCAAGUUUAAAGAAAAAAUUUGAGCUUUCAAAUGUGAGAGUUGUACUUCACCAAAGUAUAAGAUAGUCUGACUUCAACUCAAGGUUGGCUUGUCCUCCUGCCCUGGGCUGGUCUCCGGUUUCAUCACAUCCUCACUGCCGUUUGUCACAUUGACUUUCCCAAGAUGAAUCUUCCUUCCGAAUGCAGUUUGUCCACAGGAGCCUUGUGAUCUGGAUGUGUGCACUGGUUCUUUUUAGGUGAUCGUCUUUGAAGUUCAGCAAAGCUGCUUGUUCUCCCAUGGAUUCCUGUCCCAAGCUACCUCUACCAACCCUCUCCAGCAAGACUUUUCUGUUUGGCUUCUUCCCUCCCCAUCUGCUUUUUAAAGUUCUGUUCACCAAGUUGAUGGUCCAUUAAACAUACCUGUCUGGAAUGACACCCUGACCAGUAUUUGACCAAUUUCAUGUUUCAAUCUGGAUUUUUUAUGGUAUGAUACCUGUGUUUAUUGAAAGAGGUUUACCUGAAAAGCCAACAUUUGAUUUGAUUGCAGCAUAGAGAAGAAACACUGGUCCUUCUUUCAAAAUUAAGUAACUCUCAAAAGCACCAUUGUGUUUAAUUUUAAUAAUAAUCCAUGCAGCACUUUAAGAAACAACUAUAAUAGUGUUGUAUAUUAUAAACUGGUGACAUUCUACUAUUAAAUUAUGUAUAACAGUUUUGGUUUUUAUGCUUCUUGAGGUGGUAAUGAGAAAAAAAUUUUUUAAAGUGUGCCUUGCUGUAUUUCUUAUACCAUUUAUUAAAAAGCUGCUUUCAUAAAAUUAUGUUGGUUUGAAAGGAGGAAAUAGCAAGGUGGAUGUGUUAAUAAUUUCUGUAUAUAUGUAUAACCAAGUACAAACAUUGAUGUAUAAUGACGGUAUAAAAUGCUUUCAUGUUUGUGAUGUCGAGUGAUGUGGAAAAAAUAUAAGCCUUAAAUCCAUUAGAUUGCAUGAUAAUUAAAAUUGGCAUAAUAAAAAGUCAAUUGGGGGAAAAGGAAAAUUAGUGAUCUCUUCUACCUGUGUCUUUACCAAAUUGUCACAUCAGGUUCUAAGAAAAUAUAACAUGUAGCCCCUUCCAAAAUAUCCAUUUUGUAUAAGAAGCUUAAACUGCAGACUAGACAAGAAACCUUUACAGUUUUCAAAAUCUUUCUGGCCUCUAGAGAGAUCUUGAAAUAAACAGCAAAUGAUGAAAAGCCAGUUCUCCUAAACCAAUUCAAAGUUAUACCAGAUUUUUUAUUUCCACUUAUUAAUAGUUUAAUGUUAGAUUUCAGGAUUCUUGUAUAUCUUAAUUUAUUUUAAAUAAUUAUUUUAAACAGUUUUGAUAAAAAGAUGGUAUGAAAGUACAGAAAUUUUACUAUUAUUUUUAUUUAGACCGUAGAUUUCAGGUAUAUUUAUUUUGUGUAAAAGAAAUCAGCAGAGAAAUAUUCCAUUUGGUCUUCACUGACUCUCGUUAAAUACAGUUUUUAACUUAUAACUCCUACUAAAGUGCCUGACCAACAGUAGAUUUUCAAUAAAAAUUUGUUGAAAGGUAUUGAAUUAAAUAACACGGAUGACAAAAAUCUCAUCUUGAGAAACCUACGCUAAAGCGUGAACAUGACUAGAAAAAGAUAUAAUGCAAUAUAAAAUCACACACAAUAUAUAAUCAAUUUAUAUCCAAUUUCAAAAAGGGAAAGAAGGUUAGGGAUUUGUGUAGUCACAGAAAUGACAAUCAUUCAUUCAACAGAUAGUUCAUUAACAUCUUUUACUUGCAAAGCACUAUUUUAGAUUCAGGGAGUGGAAUGAAGAACAAAGACCCUACCCUCAGGAGGUGGACCUACAUUAGGGACAAAGUGAACACACAGAUGGCAUGCAGUUGUUCUUAGGGAUGAAGAGAGCAAAUAGCGUAGAAAGAAGAAUCCAGAGAGAAGGACAAGGAAGAAGAAUGAGAGUUAGGGGAGAGCGGAAAGUUUGACAAUGAAAUAUUAGCAGACCUUUAUUGCAAAGGUAGUAAGAAAAAAGGUCAAUUGGGAGGACUUAAUGAAGGUUCUUUUCAAAAGUUAAAUUGGAACUUUUGUGUGUGGUAUGUUAGGUAGUAAGGGAUCCUUGUAGAGUCUUUGUUUUGCACCUGAUUUUAUUUAUAAUUCGAACUUUAUUCAUACUCCACCAAGAACAUUUAAACACUGCUUACCUAAACUUUAAUAACUAUUUGUAUUUUUAUGCCCAUUCUGAUCUUUUCCAUACAUAUUUCUAAAUGGGUGACUCAUUCUAGACUUUUGAAUAGUUAGUUAUUUGUUCCAAAGGGGUUGUAGCAGACAUCUAGUUGGAGUGUUCCAGAGGAUUACAGGGGAAAGAGAUUAGAAAUAAUUGUCUAGUUAGGAGGCAGCCAUAGAAAAUAAGCUAGGUUUGAGACAAUAAUAGUGUACACAGGAAAAGUGACCUGGCAUGUAGAGAAAGAAUAAAUCCUACAGUCUUUGAAAUACCUAAGAGUAUUUUGGACUGCUGUUGAGAUACGGUAUUAUUUUAUAUACUAAGAUAACCUAAAUUUUUCUUGGAUAGUAACUAAUGUCAACCCUGUAUCUAUUUCUAAAACAUUCAAAGAAUUAAUUGACCACGAUGUUCUAUUUAUCUGUUGUAUGCUUAUAGAAGACCUUGAUGUGUUGAAAGUAUUUAUUAAUUAUCUGCUUAGUAUUAACACCAGACUUUUAGACUGACUUUUUGGCUUAGUGAACAAUGCCUUUUCGGGUUGGAAAAGAUGGAAUAGCUUCAAUCUCACUUGUCAUGUAGACGCUUCUGCCCCAAUUACCCUUAAAAACAGUCACAACUCUGCCUGUGACACUGCUUUGUUAUCUGUUGUAUCAGGCAAACUAUUCCAAUGUUGGGAGUGUCUCUGUUAAAAUGUUCUUUCUUUGGCUACUAAAGGCUGCAGAGUGCCCUCAACCCCACCUUUACUGAUCCUUAUUCUGUCUUACAGAGGAGCUCAGAGUAUUCUUUCUUCCCAUUUUUCAUGGCAGUCCUGAAGAUAACUGAGACCGGUUACUCAUUCUCUCCCAACCACUGUUCCUCCAGCCGCCUUUCAUGUGUCAUGAUUUUCAGAUCCAUUUCAACUUGACUGAAUGUUAACAGACAGAAUCCUACAAACCAAGGAACUGUCUUCAUCAUAAUACGUGUAGAAAAGUGGACAUUUAAGCACUGUUUUCUCUAAAAAUAUAUUCAAGAUAUAUGUUUAUUCUAUUAUUGUAAAUUUCAAUAAAUAAACAAAUAAAUAAG